rnacentral:lncRNA from 1 species
UAGCUAUCAGAAGUGUAUUUUCUCUAAAUGGGUCAGAGUUCUGCAGUCCCAUGACUUCCUACUGUUCCUCAUGCAUCAGAGGACACCACCUGACCACUCAGUGAGACCUCAGAGGUGCAAACUCUGACUCAGACUGGAAACUGGGACUUCCAGUAAGAAGAAUGCAUCAGCUCCAGGCUAUACAGUAUUCCCUACACGGUUGCUUUUGUUCACACAAUAUUCACCAUGUUCUCCGGGUCUGCUGCAAAUCAUCUCUGUAAGACAGAAG